GAUCCUGGCUCAGGACGAACGCUGGCGGCGCGCCUAACACAUGCAAGUCGAACGAGCGAGAGAGAGCUUGCUUUCCCGAGCGAGUGGCGAACGGGUGAGUAACGCGUGAGGAACCUGCCUCAAAGAGGGGGACAACAGUUGGAAACGACUGCUAAUACCGCAUAAGCCCACGGUGCUGCAUGGCACAGAGGGAAAAGGAGCAAUCCGCUUUGAGAUGGCCUCGCGUCCGAUUAG
rnacentral:rRNA from 1 species